GUACCAAUACCUGAAGGAAUGGUGCUUAAUCAAAGUCUGAAUGAUCUGGAUGCCAUAUGUGGUGACUUUGAGUUGCAUAUACCUACUUCUUUCUCCCUUGGAAGAUCAAUUUCCUCCGAAAAGGAUGAUGUUACCAUGUCUGAUCGGCAAAGUAAGGAAGAAUUUGAAUCAACUGAAUCAACAUCUCCUUUCUCCCUUGGAAGAUCAAUUUCCCCCGAAAAGGAUGAUGUUACCAUGUCUGAUCGGCAAAGUAAGGAAGAAUUUGAAUCAACUGAAUCAACAUCUCUUCUUGCAGAGCA
rnacentral:lncRNA from 1 species